UUAAGUUAUUAAGGGCGCACGGUGGAUGCCUUGGCACUAGAAGCCGAUGAAGGACGUUACUAACGACGAUAUGCUUUGGGGAGCUGUAAGUAAGCUUUGAUCCAGAGAUUUCCGAAUGGGGAAACCCAGCAUGAGUUAUGUCAUGUUAUCGAUAUGUGAAUACAUAGCAUAUCAGAAGGCACACCCGGAGAACUGAAACAUCUUAGUACCCGGAGGAAGAGAAAGAAAAUUCGAUUCCCUUAGUAGCGGCGAGCGAAACGGGAAGAGCCCAAACCAACAAGCUUGCUUGUUGGGGUUGUAGGACACUCUAUACGGAGUUACAAAGGACGACAUUAGACGAAUCAUCUGGAAAGAUGAAUCAAAGAAGGUAAUAAUCCUGUAGUCGAAAAUGUUGUCUCUCUUGAGUGGAUCCUGAGUACGACGGAGCACGUGAAAUUCCGUCGGAAUCUGGGAGGACCAUCUCCUAAGGCUAAAUACUCUCUAGUGACCGAUAGUGAACCAGUACCGUGAGGGAAAGGUGAAAAGCACCCCGGAAGGGGAGUGAAAUAGAACCUGAAACCGUGUGCUUACAAGUAGUCAGAGCCCGUUAAUGGGUGAUGGCGUGCCUUUUGUAGAAUGAACCGGCGAGUUACGAUUUGAUGCAAGGUUAAGCAGUAAAUGUGGAGCCGUAGCGAAAGCGAGUCUGAAUAGGGCGUUUAGUAUUUGGUCGUAGACCCGAAACCAGGUGAUCUACCCUUGGUCAGGUUGAAGUUCAGGUAACACUGAAUGGAGGACCGAACCGACUUACGUUGAAAAGUGAGCGGAUGAACUGAGGGUAGCGGAGAAAUUCCAAUCGAACCUGGAGAUAGCUGGUUCUCUCCGAAAUAGCUUUAGGGCUAGCCUCAAGUGAUGAUUAUUGGAGGUAGAGCACUGUUUGGACGAGGGGCCCCUCUCGGGUUACCGAAUUCAGACAAACUCCGAAUGCCAAUUAAUUUAACUUGGGAGUCAGAACAUGGGUGAUAAGGUCCGUGUUCGAAAGGGAAACAGCCCAGACCACCAGCUAAGGUCCCAAAAUAUAUGUUAAGUGGAAAAGGAUGUGGCGUUGCCCAGACAACUAGGAUGUUGGCUUAGAAGCAGCCAUCAUUUAAAGAGUGCGUAAUAGCUCACUAGUCGAGUGACACUGCGCCGAAAAUGUACCGGGGCUAAACAUAUUACCGAAGCUGUGGAUUGUCCUUUGGACAAUGGUAGGAGAGCGUUCUAAGGGCGUUGAAGCAUGAUCGUAAGGACAUGUGGAGCGCUUAGAAGUGAGAAUGCCGGUGUGAGUAGCGAAAGACGGGUGAGAAUCCCGUCCACCGAUUGACUAAGGUUUCCAGAGGAAGGCUCGUCCGCUCUGGGUUAGUCGGGUCCUAAGCUGAGGCCGACAGGCGUAGGCGAUGGAUAACAGGUUGAUAUUCCUGUACCACCUAUAAUCGUUUUAAUCGAUGGGGGGACGCAGUAGGAUAGGCGAAGCGUGCGAUUGGAUUGCACGUCUAAGCAGUAAGGCUGAGUAUUAGGCAAAUCCGGUACUCGUUAAGGCUGAGCUGUGAUGGGGAGAAGACAUUGUGUCUUCGAGUCGUUGAUUUCACACUGCCGAGAAAAGCCUCUAGAUAGAAAAUAGGUGCCCGUACCGCAAACCGACACAGGUAGUCAAGAUGAGAAUUCUAAGGUGAGCGAGCGAACUCUCGUUAAGGAACUCGGCAAAAUGACCCCGUAACUUCGGGAGAAGGGGUGCUCUUUAGGGUUAACGCCCAGAAGAGCCGCAGUGAAUAGGCCCAAGCGACUGUUUAUCAAAAACACAGGUCUCUGCUAAACCGUAAGGUGAUGUAUAGGGGCUGACGCCUGCCCGGUGCUGGAAGGUUAAGAGGAGUGGUUAGCUUCUGCGAAGCUACGAAUCGAAGCCCCAGUAAACGGCGGCCGUAACUAUAACGGUCCUAAGGUAGCGAAAUUCCUUGUCGGGUAAGUUCCGACCCGCACGAAAGGCGUAAC
rnacentral:rRNA from 1 species